UAGUUGGAUUUCUGUUGAGGUCGGGCGGUGUACACCUCGUGUAUUAUUUGCUUCGGUCUCGGCAUCCUCUUGGGGAACGUUCAGGGCUUUAUUGGACUGGGCGAGAUUCAAGACUUUUACUUUGAGGAAAUUAGAGUGUUCACGGCAGGCAAGUGCUUUGAAUACAUUAGCAUGGAAUAAUAAUAUAGGACCUUCGUUCUAUUUUGUUGGUUUCUAGAACUUAGGUAAUGAUUAAUAGGGACAAUUGGGGGCAUUCGUAUUAACGCGUCAGAGGUGGAAUUCUUGGAUUGCGUUACGACGAACUACUGCGAAAGCAUUUGCCAAAGAUGUUUUCAUUGAUCAAGAACGAAAGUAUGGGGAUCGAAGACGCUUAGAUACCGUCGUAGUCUAUACCAUAAACUAUGCCAACUAGAGAUCGGAGGGGUUAUCCUAUGUGGCUCCUUCGGCAUCUUAUGAGAAAUCAAAGUUUUUGGGUUCCGGGGGGAGUAUGGUCGCAAGGCUGAGACUUAAAGGAAUUGACGGAAGGGCACCACCAGGAGUGGAGCCUGCGGCUUAAUUUGACUCAACACGGGAAA
rnacentral:rRNA from 1 species